rnacentral:rRNA from 1 species
GACGAACGCUGGCGGCGUGCUUAACACAUGCAAGUCGAACGGAAAGGCCCUGCUUUUGUGGGGUGCUCGAGUGGCGAACGGGUGAGUAACACGUGAGUAACCUGCCCUUGACUUUGGGAUAACUUCAGGAAACUGGGGCUAAUACCGGAUAGGAGCUCCUGCUGCAUGGUGGGGGUUGGAAAGUUUCGGCGGUUGGGGAUGGACUCGCGGCUUAUCAGCUUGUUGGUGGGGUAGUGGCUUACCAAGGCUUUGACGGGUAGCCGGCCUGAGAGGGUGACCGGCCACAUUGGGACUGAGAUACGGCCCAGACUCCUACGGGAGGCAGCAGUGGGGAAUAUUGCACAAUGGGCGGAGGCCGGAUGCAGCACCGCCGCGUGCGGGAUGACGGCCUUCGGGUUGUAAACCGCUUUCGCCUGUGACGAAGCGUGAGUGACGGUAAUGGGUAAAGAAGCACCGGCUAACUACGUG